GACGAACGCUGGCGGCGUGCUUAACACAUGCAAGUCGAACGAUGAUGCCCAGCUUGCUGGGCGGAUUAGUGGCGAACGGGUGAGUAACACGUGAGUAACCUGCCCUUGACUUCGGGAUAACUCCGGGAAACCGGGGCUAAUACCGGAUAUGAGCCGUCCUCGCAUGGGGGUGGUUGGAAAGUUUUUCGGUCAGGGAUGGGCUCGCGGCCUAUCAGCUUGUUGGUGGGGUGAUGGCCUACCAAGGCGACGACGGGUAGCCGGCCUGAGAGGGCGACCGGCCACACUGGGACUGAGACACGGCCCAGACUCCUACGGGAGACAGCAGUGGGGAAUAUUGCACAAUGGGCGAAAGCCUGAUGCAGCGACGCCGCGUGAGGGAUGAAGGCCUUCGGGUUGUAAACCUCUUUCAGCAGGGAAGAAGCGCAAGUGACGGUACCUGCAGAAGAAGCGCCGGCUAACUACGUGCCAGCAGCCGCGGUAAUACGUAGGGCGCAAGCGUUGUCCGGAAUUAUUGGGCGUAAAGAGCUCGUAGGCGGUUUGUCGCGUCUGGUGUGAAAACUCGAGGCUCAACCUCGAGCUUGCAUCGGGUACGGGCAGACUAGAGUGCGGUAGGGGAGACUGGAAUUCCUGGUGUAGCGGUGGAAUGCGCAGAUAUCAGGAGGAACACCGAUGGCGAAGGCAGGUCUCUGGGCCGCAACUGACGCUGAGGAGCGAAAGCAUGGGGAGCGAACAGG
rnacentral:rRNA from 1 species